AUUGAACGCUGGCGGAAUGCUUUACACAUGCAAGUCGAACGGCAGCACGGACUUCGGUCUGGUGGCGAGUGGCGAACGGGUGAGUAAUACAUCGGAACGUGCCCAGUCGGGGGGGAUAACGUAGCGAAAGCUACGCUAAUACCGCAUACGCUCUAAGGAUGAAAGCGGGGGAUGGCAAGGCCUCGCGCGAUAGGAGCGGCCGAUGGCAGAUUAGGUAGUUGGUAGGGUAAAGGCCUACCAAGCCGACGAUCUGUAGCUGGUCUGAGAGGAUGAUCAGCCACACUGGGACUGAGACACGGCCCAGACUCCUACGGGAGGCAGCAGUGGGGAAUUUUGGACAAUGGGCGCAAGCCUGAUCCAGCCAUUCCGCGUGCAGGAUGAAGGCCUUCGGGUUGUAACCUGCUUUUGUACAGAACGAAAAGGCUCUGGUUAAUACCCGGGGCUCAUGACGGUACUGUAAGAAUAAGCACCGGCUACCUACGUGCCAGCCGCCGCCGUAA
rnacentral:rRNA from 1 species